rnacentral:rRNA from 1 species
GAUGAACGCUAGCUACAGGCUUAACACAUGCAAGUCGAGGGACCGGCGCACGGGUGAGUAACACGUAUCCAACCUGCCCUUUACUCGGGGAUAGCCUUUCGAAAGAAAGAUUAAUACCCGAUAUAAAGGAUGGGGAUGCGUUCCAUUAGGUUGUUGGGGAGGUAACGGCUCAACAAGCCUUCGAUGGAUAGGGGUUCGGAGAGGAAGGGCCCCCGCAUUGGAACUGAGGCACGUACCAAACUCGUACGGGAGAGAGGAGUGAGGGAUAUUAGGCAAUGAGCGCUAGCCUGAACCAGCCGAGUAGCGUGAAGGAUGAAGGCUGAUGGGUCGUAAACUUCUUUUAUAUAAGAAUAUGUAUUAUAUGAAUAAGGAUCGGCUAACUCCGUGCCAGCAGCCGCGGUAAUAC